GGCUCGUUGGUCUAAGGGUAUGAUUCUCGCUUCGGACGUGAAAGGUCCUGGGUUCAAAUCCCAGAUGAGCCC